GUUUCUGUAGUGUAGUGGUUAUCACAUUUGUUUAACACACAAAAGGGCCCCGGUUCAAAACUGGGCAGAAACA